GACGAACCGAGCGAACGUUAUUCGGAAUCACUGGGCUUAAAGGGUGCGUAGGCGGGCACGCGAGUCAGGGGUGAAAUCCCACGGCCCAACCGUGGAAGUGCCUCUGAUACCGCGAGCCUCGAGGGGGAUAGGGGCGUGCGGAACUUCCGGUGGAGCGGUGAAAUGCGUAGAUAUCGGAAGGAACACCGGGUGGCGAAAGCGGCGCGCUGGAUCCCUACUGACGCUGAGGCACGAAAGCCAGGGGAGCAAACGGGAUAGAAACC
rnacentral:rRNA from 1 species